GAUCCUCUGCAAGACAGAGGGCAAGGAGGUGAGCAGGGCAGGCUGACGCUCACCCAGCCUGGAUCCCCAGGGGGGACCUUGCAGACCCAACCCAUCCCACUGCCCCAGGGCUUCCAUCCACCCUGGCUGCUCCUACCCAACUUCCUUCCAGCCCUUGUCCUGGCCGCCCAGGGGGCACAGAGGUCACAGGACAGAUCAGGCCAAGCUGGAGGACCUCAUCUCCGCGUCGUGGAAAACACUGAGCAAAGUCGGGCUCCUCCCUGCAUGCCUAGCGGCCACUGCAGAUUCAAGGGAACCCUGCCUCUGAGUGGAGAAGGAAGCCAGGCCAAGUGCUUUGUUUAUGAAUUAGGGGAAAAAAGAAGGCAGAACUCCGUCGCAUAUAAUAAAUUAUUGUCGUCAAGGUCAAACAAAUUAAAGGGGGGCAGCUAUUAUUAAGUUUAUGAGGCAGCAUCCCGAGCACAGUGCCAAACCAAACAAUUAGCCCGGAGCUGUAACCGGGGCGGGUCUCUGCGCCCUGCCUGCCCCGCCUCCCUGCGGCUGCAGCCGGCCCUUCAGCUCUCACCCAGGCCUGGAGAGAGAACACCUGCUCUCGGAUCGUGCACGAAGAGGGCUUAUGCGCACACAUGAGCACGAGCACAAGCAUGUGUGUUCUCUGUGUGCUCUGAAGUUACAUGUGGGUGUGUACCCAAUGCAACUGUGUUUGUGUGAGCGUCCCACCCCAUCUGCUCCCACGUGUGCAAAGUCAUGCAUGUGUGGGCAUCUGCACCCAGACCUUAGUGAAUGGGCAAACACGCAUGCAUGUACCUACUUGUAAGUGUAGGUACAUGUUUGUGUACCUAACUACACGUGCGAUGUGUGAGCAUACUUUCACAUUUGAAUACACUCGGACUUUAUAUGUACGUCUGCAUAAUUGGGGCAUGUAGGUAUUUAUGACCAUCUUCAUGUGACUUUGUAUAUAUUUUCUGCGGGUUAUGUGUGCAUGGGUGUAUGCAUUCUAUACAUCUGUGGACAUGUAUGGUUAUGGGUAAGGGGCUUGUACAUGUGUCGUUGUGCAUGCUGUUGUAAAUGUGUACACACUUGUAUGUAAAUGGUCACAUCUUAGGGGCUUGCAGUUGUAUGCCAAUGUGUGUGUGUCCGUGUUUAUGAAUGCUUGUAUUUUGUGUGGGGGGUUAUGCUUGCAUCUGUGUGCAUGUGCGAAUGUGUUGGAGGGGUGUGUGUGCAUGGUCACGAGAGCUGGCCUGGAACCCAGCAGUAAGCGCUUAGAUCAGGGUAGGGGCAGUGCUGCUUCUUGGUCCCGACUCCCACCAGAGAGAGCACCAUAACCAUGGACUGUUUCAGGGUCUACAGGAGAUGGUUAGCUUCUCCUGAACAGCAUGGAGUUCUAAGGACGGACCCUCUCCCGCUGCCCAGAACCUCUCCCGACUGGAAGUGUAGAGGGUCCAGACAUCCUGGCCCACUGGCUUACCUCAGCUGCACAGCAAGCCUCUUUGGGGAGGAAAAUGAGACCAUGGGAACAAGAAGUCACCUUGGAGGGGAGGCAAAUGACCUUGGUGACAGCGCUACCCUUCUCCUCUGCCCGUGUCUCUGUAGAAGGACAGAUGUGGGGACAAGACAUGCCUCUGCCCAGGUAAGUGGAAAAGCCACUCAG